rnacentral:rRNA from 1 species
CCUACGGGUGGCAGCAGUGGGGAAUAUUGCACAAUGGGGGAAACCCUGAUGCAGCGACGCCGCGUGAGUGAAGAAGUAUUUCGGUAUGUAAAGCUCUAUCAGCAGGGAAGAAAAUGACGGUACCUGACUAAGAAGCCCCGGCUAACUACGUGCCAGCAGCCGCGGUAAUACGUAGGGGGCAAGCGUUAUCCGGAUUUACUGGGUGUAAAGGGGGCGCAGACGGCGAUGCAAGCCAGGAGUGAAAGCCCAGGGCCUAACCAUGGGACUGCUCUGGGAACUGCGUGGCUGGAGUGCAGGAGGGGUAGGCGGAAUUCCUGGUGUAGCGGUGAAAUGCGUAGAUAUUAGGAGGAACACCGGUGGCGAAGGCGGCCUGCUGGACUGUAACUGACGUUGAGGCUCGAAAGCGUGGGGAGCAAACAGGAUUAGAUACCCGGGUAGUC